AGGAAGGUAGUGUAGUUAACACCUGCAUUAUUUGACGUUACCUUACAGAAGAAGCGCCGGCUAACUCCGUGCCAGCAGCCGCGGUAAUACGGAGGGUGCGAGCGUUAAUCGGAAUUACUGGGCGUAAAGCGCAUGCAGGCGGCCUGUUAAGUCAGAUGUGAAAGACCCGGGGCGUUAAACCUCGGAAUUGCAUUUGUAAACUAGGCAGGCUAGAGUCUUGUAGAGGGGGGUAGGAAGUUUCAGGUGUAGCGGUGAAAUGCGUAGAGAUCUGAAGGAAUACCAGUGGCGAAGGCGGCCCCCCUGGACAAAGACUGACGCUCAGAUGCGAAAAGCGUGGGGAGCAAACAGGAUUAGAUACCCUGGUAG
rnacentral:rRNA from 1 species